ACAUGCAAGUCGAACGGAAUGCUUUCGGGCAUUUAGUGGCGGACGGGUGAGUAACGCGUGAGAAUCUGCCCUUUGGAUGGGGACAACGACUGGAAACGGUCGCUAAUACCCGAUGAGCCGCGAGGUUAAAGAUUUAUCGCCAAAGGAUGAGCUCGCGUCGGAUUAGCUAGUUGGUAGUGUAAUGGACUACCAAGGCGACGAUCCGUAGCUGGUCUGAGAGGAUGACCAGCCACACUGGGACUGAGACACGGCCCAGACUCCUACGGGAGGCAGCAGUGGGGAAUUUUCCGCAAUGGGCGCAAGCCUGACGGAGCAAGACCGCGUGGGGGAGGAAGGUCUGUGGAUUGUAAACCCCUUUUGACUGGGAAGAACACAAUGACGGUACCAGUCGAAUCAGCCUCGGCUAACUCCGUGCCAGCAGCCGCGGUAAUACGGAGGAGGCAAGCGUUAUCCGGAUUUAUUGGGCGUAAAGCGUCCGCAGGUGGUUAUACAAGUCUGCUGUCAAAGCGCGAAGCUUAACUUCGUAAAGGCAGUGGAAACUGUAUGACUUGAGUGUGAUAGGGGCAGAGGGAAUUCCUAGUGUAGCGGUGAAAUGCGUAGAGAUUAGGAAGAACACCGGUGGCGAAG
rnacentral:rRNA from 1 species